AUUGAACGCUGGCGGCAGGCCUAACACAUGCAAGUCGAGCGGAUGAAGGGAGCUUGCUCCUGGAUUCAGCGGCGGACGGGUGAGUAAUGCCUAGGAAUCUGCCUGGUAGUGGGGGAUAACGUCCGGAAACGGGCGCUAAUACCGCAUACGUCCUGAGGGAGAAAGUGGGGGAUCUUCGGACCUCACGCUAUCAGAUGAGCCUAGGUCGGAUUAGCUAGUUGGUGGGGUAAAGGCCUACCAAGGCGACGAUCCGUAACUGGUCUGAGAGGAUGAUCAGUCACACUGGAACUGAGACACGGUCCAGACUCCUACGGGAGGCAGCAGUGGGGAAUAUAGGACAAUGGGCGAAAGCCUGAUCCAGCCAUGCCGCGUGUGUGAAGAAGGUCUUCGGAUCGUAAAGCACUUUAAGUUGGGAGGAAGGGCAGUAAGUUAAUACCUUGCUGUUUUGACGUUACCAACAGAAUAAGCACCGGCUAACUUCGUG
rnacentral:rRNA from 1 species